rnacentral:rRNA from 1 species
CCUACGGGGAGCAGCAGUGGGGGAUAUUGCACAAUGGGGGGAACCCUGAUGCAGCGACGCCGCGUGGGUGAAGGAGUGCUUCGGCAUGUAAAGCCCUAUCGGCAGGGAAGAAGCAAGACGGUACCUGACUAAUACGCCUCGGCUAACUACGUGCCAGCAGCGGAGGUAAUACGUAGGGGGCGAGCGUUAUCCGGAUUCCCUGGGCGUACAGGGCGCGUAGACGGUCAAGCAAGACAGGGGUUAAAGCCCGGGGCCCAACCCCGGGACUGCCCUUGGAACUGCAUGGCUGGAGUGCGGGAGGGGGAGGCGGAAUGCCUGGUGUAGCGGUGAAAUGCGUAGAUAUCAGGAGGAACACCGGCGGCGAAGGCGGCCUGCUGGACCGCGACUGACGUUGAGGCUCGAAAGCGUGGGGAGCGAACAGGAUUAGAUACCCCUGUAGUC